UACAGAGGGGGCAAGCGUUGUUCGGAAUUACUGGGCGUAAAGGGCGCGUAGGCGGCCUGUUAAGUCGAACGUGAAAUCCCCGGGCUCAACCCGGGAACUGCGUCCGAUACUGGCAGGCUUGAAUCCGGGAGAGGGAUGCGGAAUUCCAGGUGUAGCGGUGAAAUGCGUAGAUAUCUGGAGGAACACCGGUGGCGAAGGCGGCAUCCUGGACCGAGACUGACACUGAGGAGCGAAAGCCAGGGGAGCAAACGGG
rnacentral:rRNA from 1 species